rnacentral:rRNA from 1 species
GACACGCUGGGCGGCGUGCCUAACACAUGCAAGUCGAGCGGAGAUGUACUGAAGAUUUAUCGGAUGUACAUCUUAGCGGCGGACGGGUGAGUAACGCGUGGGCAACCUGCCUUCCACUGGGGGAUAACACAGGGAAACCUGUGCUAAUACCGCAUGACAUCACAUAGGGCAUCCUGUGUGAUCAAAGGAGUGAUCCGGUGGAAGAUGGGCCCGCGUCCGAUUAGCUAGUUGGUGAGGUAACGGCUCACCAAGGCGACGAUCGGUAGCCGGACUGAGAGGUUGGCCGGCCACAUUGGGACUGAGACACGGCCCAGACUCCUACGGGAGGCAGCAGUGGGGAAUAUUGCGCAAUGGGGGGAACCCUGACGCAGCGACGCCGCGUGAAGGAAGAAGGCCUUCGGGUUGUAAACUUCUUUGAUGAGGGACGAAGGAAGUGACGGUACCUCAAAAACAAGCCACGGCUAACUACGUG